UUUCCCCCUUUUUUUUUCAAAACAUAGCCCCACGAACUUCAUAUGUGGGGUGCAGCCUGCCCAGUGGAAUUUAUUCUAAACGGCCGCGGUAUUUUGACCGUGCAAAGGUAGCAUAAUCACUUGUCUCUUAAAUGGGGACCUGUAUGAAUGGCUUUUCACUCUUUCACUGUCUCUCUUCCCUCCCUCCUAAUCUUCUAAUCACGUGAAGAAGCGUGAACAAAUAAGAAAGACGAGAAGACCCUGUCGAGCUUAAGCUAACCCUGAAAUGUCGUCUACCUUUUUUCUUAGAAAGAGGUAAAUUUCAGAUAAAGUUUUGGUUGGGGCAACCGUGGAGAAAAAGAAUCCUCCAGUUAGUUAGGAAGAAAACCUUUCACCUAAAAAAUUUAGCGACCCAGUUACUCUGGUAAACGGAAAAAGUUACCGCAGGGAUAACAGCGUUAUCUUCUCUAAGAGCCCAUAUUGACGAGAAGGAUUGCGACCUCGAUGUUGGAUUGGGGUAACCAAAGGGUGUAGCAGCUCUUUAAGGUUGGACUGUUCGUCCAUUAACUCCCUACAUGAUCUGAGUUCAGACCGACGUAAGUCAGGUCAGCUUCUAUCUUCUAAAUAACCCUUCUAGUACGAAAGGACCGAAGGGAGGCCUUCAAUGACCAACGUUAAAAGGUAAAAAAACAAGAAAAAAAGUUAAUAAAUAUAUUUCUUAGUUAAAUCUAGGGAACGUCUAAAAGAGACGUGAAAACAAAUUCGCUUAAACCUACGUUAAAAAAAAAGUUUUAGGAUUUUACACAAGGGGACCCCCUUAUAGUUUUCCAGAAUUUUUAAUUUUAAGAAAC
rnacentral:rRNA from 1 species